GUGCCUGUAGCUUAAUGGAUAGAGCAUCAGAUUGCGGAUCUGACGAUUGCGAGUUCAAGUCUCGCCGGGCACACCA
rnacentral:tRNA from 1 species